AGAUUGAACGCUGGCGGCAGGCCUAACACAUGCAAGUCGAGCGGUAGAGAGGUGCUUGCAUCUCUUGAGAGCGGCGGACGGGUGAGUAAUGCCUAGGAAUCUGCCUAGUGGUGGGGGAUAACGUUCGGAAACGGACGCUAAUACCGCAUACGUCCUACGGGAGAAAGCGGGGGACCUUCGGGCCUCGCGCCAUUAGAUGAGCCUAGGUCGGAUUAGCUAGUUGGUGAGGUAAUGGCUCACCGAAGGCGACGAUCCGUAACUGGUCUGAGAGGAUGAUCAGUCACACUGGAACUGAGACACGGUCCAGACUCCGUACGGGAGCAGUCGAAGGUGGGAAUAGUUGGACAAGUGGGACGAAAGCCUAGACUCCAGCCAUCGCCGCGUGUAGUAGAAGAACGGUCUUACGA
rnacentral:rRNA from 1 species